ACGUACAAGCAGUGGGAGCACCCUUUGGGGUGUGACUGCGUACCUUUUGUAUAAUGGGUCAGCGACUUAUAUUCUGUAGCAAGGUUAACCGAAUAGGGGAGCCGGAGGGAAACCGAGUCUUAACCGGGCGUUAAGUUGCAGGGUAUAGACCCGAAACCCGGUGAUCUAGCCAUGGGCAGGUUGAAGGUUGGGUAACACUAACUGGAGGACCGAACCGACUAAUGUUGAAAAAUUAGCGGAUGACCUGUGGCUGGGGGUGAAAGGCCAAUCAAACCGGGAGAUAGCUGGUUCUCCCCGAAAGCUAUUUAGGUAGCGCCUCGUGAAUUCAUCUCCGGGGGUAGAGCACUGUUUCGGCUAGGGGGCCAUCCCGGCUUACCAACCCGAUGCAAACUGCGAAUACCGGAGAAUGUUAUCACGGGAGACACACGGCGGGUGCUAACGUCCGUCGUGAAGAGGGAAACAACCCAGACCGCCAGCUAAGGUCCCAAAGUCAUGGUUAAGUGGGAAACGAUGUGGGAAGGCCCAGACAGCCAGGAUGUUGGCUUAGAAGCAGCCAUCAUUUAAAGAAAGCGUAAUAGCUCACUGGUCGAGUCGGCCUGCGCGGAAGAUGUAACGGGGCUAAACCAU
rnacentral:rRNA from 1 species